ACCAAUGAGAUCCGCCUCCAUCUCUGCCUCAAUGGACGACAACGACGUUAGAGCCAUUCUCUCUCACUGAGUCGCACUCCAAGGUCCGAUCUCCACACUCUCUAUGCUUCUUCUCCUCUCUCUUUGUUUGGAUCUUCAAGCUUUUGGUGGCUUCUCUGAGAGAUGGCAAAUCGGCGUCACUCGGGGAGAAGCACUGAUCUCUAAUAUGUAAAUAUUUGAGGAUUCUGUGGCCGAGUUGUGAAACAAGAAAUCGAUCGGGGCAUAGUGUGAUCUCUCCCUUGUUUUGAAUCAUCUUCCUGAGCAGGAUUACUCCCUUGUUUUUUACCUGCAUAAUGUGAUCGACAUCACUUGGGUACUGCAUAGUAUUCAUGCUGCAGAAGAGUCCAUCCAUUCUCAUUUGCAUUUAUAUAGAUCAUGGAUUGAAUAUUUAGUUAGGAAUUUUAUUACUUCAUACAUAAACUUCUUUUCAUAAUAGGAACCAUCUUAGUUGAUCUCUACUGCUUAAGCUAUGCGUCGGUUGCGUAUAUAUACGUAUAUCUAGUCACUCGUCGUAUUCACUAUCGACUCUCUCUCAUCCCUUUGUCUUCCUCCCUUCUCUAAUCUCCUCUCUCUGGUUUUGCCCUAACAAGAAUUUCAGAGCACAACAAUGGAACCCACUUCUCACCUCGCGAAUACUUCCUGAGAUCAUAUCUGAAUUGAACUACCGCCCCGGAAUUCGGGUUCCCUGGGGCCACAAGAAGAAGAGAUCUGCCCUCGCUGUACGACAACAAAAAAUGAAACUCAACUCGUCAUCAUCGACGCUGGGAUUACGGACUUUACUGUUUCUGUCUCACUCUUCCUUGGUAUAUAAAAAAUGUUGGACUGGUGUCUGAUCGAAGUGAAUCUCAUUUUCACUUGAAUCUUGUGUUUUUGUUGUGUAUAUGCUGCCAACAGUUGCCUAUUUAGAUAACCCGUCUAUGCCUUCGCUGCAAAGUCCGUAAUCCCAGUAAUUGGUUUUGGUAAGUUCAGUACAAUCAAGUUUGGUUAAAGUCAUAUUCAACCAUGGUUCAUUGGGCAUUUGAUAUUAUCUAUUACAAGCAUGAUGUUAUCCUGGUUUGGUGCUUAUAAGUCGAAUUAAACUCAUGUUCUUCCUUUUUUUCUCCUGUAAAAGAAAAAAGUAAUUUGACUCGCACUUGUGUUCUUCCUUUCUUGUUUUUCUAAUAUAGCUUCUAUUUUUCCUCCUCAUUUUUCCCUUUUUUCCUGGUAAACUAUCAUGGCAUCAGAGAGCCAGGUUCUUUGGUGACGUUCGGAUCGGAGCCUAGCUGCUUGAGUUCAUGAAGCCUAUGCAUCUUUCUACCUUCUUCUUCAUUUCAGAGUUUGAUUUCAGCUUCAAUCAGAUAAGUUCUUCAUAUUUGUAGAUUUGAAAUUUUGGAAUUUUAAUCAAUGUUAGUGAAUUAUGAUUGUGGCUUUGAAACCUUGGUUUUGUGAUGUGAUCAUUUGAAUAUACUUCUUACACAUUCACUAAAAGAUUCAUAUCACAAAUACUUAUAUAUUAGAAUUGUAAACCCCUGUUGUGUUGAAAGAACCUUGAGAUAUCAGUCUGCCUUGUGCAUUCUCACAUAAGAUCAGUCAAUUUCUUUGUUCGAUUGUGUUCAGUUUAUUUAUUUACAAGUUUUCGUUAAAAAAUCAGAAGAUUGUGACUCAGAAAUGACACCUUUUACUUCUAGUGCUGCAUCUGCUAGUAAGUUUGCAGAGCUUGAUUUUCUUCAUCCAAUACUAUUUGUAGUUUAUCAAUGGUCUAAUGGUGCCUAUAAUUAUGAAUAUCGUUUUCACUUUUGGGCAAUUAUCUUAUCUCUAAUAUUUACAAGUGGAUUCCAAUUUCCUUAGAUGGUUCCAACUAUGUCAAUGGGAAGUUUAUGCUAGAGAUGGUGUGGCUUAUGAAGUAUUUCAAUGGUUCAUUCUCUUAGGUCUUCAGACUUUGGUGAUCUUGAGCUAAUUAUGAAAAAUGAUUUCUUAUUUAGUGAAUAACAUUCAUGUCAAACAAAUUCUUUGAAUAGAGGAUAUGAAUCCACUCAGCCCUUUUAUUCUUUUGGCAGAUGAGUUCCCAAGUAUCAAGAGCUGAGCUGAUGCUAAGGAUAGGGUGGCUGCUAUUAAGCUAUUACCGCUAUCUUGGACCCUUGAAGCAGUACAGAUAAAAAAAAAAAAAUUAUGGAUAGCAACAACAAGGGACUACAGACAGAAUAGUCCUUCCUGAUAGUUGCCAUAUGGCGGUGCUUCGAUACAAAUUUUCUUAAGUGACUAUGAACUUCAAUCCUAGUUAUCAAAGAUAGGUUAGAAGGAUGAUUCUGUAGGCAAGUUAUUUUCUUUUGUAAGUGAGCACAAUUGUUCAUUUGAACACUAUAGGCAAGUUAGCAAUUUUAUGAUUCACUUUUUGAUCUGAAAUUUUGUGAUUCUGUUGAACAUUCACAGAUAAUUCUUAGUUUGCACUUUGCA